rnacentral:pre_miRNA from 1 species
AUUAUACUCCCUCCGUCCGGAAAUACUUGUCAUCAAAAUGGAUAAAAGAGGAUGUAUCUAGAUGUAUUUUAGUUCUAGAUACAUCUCCUUUUAUCCAUUUUGAUGACAAGUAUUUUCGGACGGAGGGAGUAUUCC